AGAGUUUGAUCAUGGCUCAGAACGAACGCUGGCGGCAUGCUUUAACACAUGCAAGUCGAACGCGCCCUUGGGCUUCGGUCUGGGGGUGAGUGGCGCACGGGUGAGUAGCGCGUGGGAACCUGCCUAGUCGUGGGGGAUAACCGAGGGAAACCUCGGCUAAUACCGCAUACGCCGGGGGUAACUCCGGGAAAGAUUUAUCGCGAUUAGAGGGGCCCGCGUCGGAUUAGCUAGUUGGUGGGGUAACGGCCUACCAAGGCAGUGAUCCGUAGCUGGUCUGAGAGGAUGAUCAGCCACACUGGGACUGAGACACGGCCCAGACUCCUACGGGAGGCAGCAGUGGGGAAUAAUGGACAAUGGGCGCAAGCCUGAUCCAGCAAUGCCGCGUGAGUGAGGAAGGCCUUAGGGUUGUAAAGCUCUUUCACCCACGACGAUGAAGACGGUAGUGGGAGAAGAAGCCCCGGCUAACUUCGUGCCAGCAGCCGCGGUAAUACGAAGGGGGCGAGCGUUGAUCGGAUUUACUGGGCGUAAAGGGCGCGCAGGCGGCAGACCAAGCCAGGCGUGAAAGCCC
rnacentral:rRNA from 1 species